GUCACGUUAACUGGCAAACUUGUUACCACAAACCCGAUGAUCUCUUUCUGAAUGAGGAGGGAAAUACUGGACCUGAGUUAUCAGAAGCCAGAAUAUCCUUCUUUCCAGCCAUUCUUAUUUUAUGUAUUUCGAAGAAUAAAUAAAAUUGCAGUUACAUAUUCAUAGACUAUAUCAGACAGGACUAAUUCAACUUUGCCUGGGAUCUCUAUUAUGUCAAAGUAUCCUCCACGGUGAUUUCUGUAACAUCUGCCUCAGUUUGUUGUCUCAUCCAUAGCCAACAAUCUUUCUCCUUUCCUCACAAGUUUCUUGUGAUCGGUUUAGAUCCUCAACAGCCAUGUGGCAGGAGGACCACUCAGAAGCUCAUGGACAAGCUAGUCUGUAGCAAAGAUGCAGAAAGAAGAUAGACUGUCUCAAAUUGGAAGUCAAGAACUAAUUCCUGAAACUGUCAUCAGACCUUCACACUUUCUGUGGAACACAUGCCUUCAUAUCCUUUCAAUGUAGCUGUGUGCAAACAUAUUUCCUCAUACUGAGUAUAAAUGCACUGUUUUUCUUUAUAUUCAUUCUUUUCUCAAGGUCAGUGCCAUAGUUACAACCUGAAAUUUUUUCUAAAUAAAAACCCUGCCUAUAUCGACAUAAUGAAAUAACUGACAAGAAUGAAGUCAAGACCAGGACAUUUCUUCAGACUACUACACAGACUAUUCUAGUGCUGUGCUUUGAAAGGAAAACGUAAGAUUCUAAAUCAGCAUGUAGGCUUGUAUCCUUUAUCUAAGAAUGAUCCCAAUGCAGUACAGAAAAGACAAAGUAGAAAUGCAUAUUGGGAUAAAGCACAGCUCUUAUGACACGGACUAGAGAAUUCUCCAGAAGAGUGAUGCACUUGUUGCUAAGACAACCCACGAAACAUUCAGAUUUAUGGAACAUUAGACCAAUAACCCUAAGGUCCUAACUCUGCAGUGGGGUAGAACUUUUUCAGACAGCCACUGCCUCUGUGUAGACACACUGAUAUUUGCCUUAUAUUUCACUAACCGGACGGACACUUCUCAUGAAGAGAAGACUGAGCGUCUGACCCUGGCUGUAUUGCACAGAAAUCUCACUGAACAUGAAGAUCAUCAAUUUUAAAGACUGCUUGGCCAGCAAGCUCCAUUGAUGUACCUCUCUCUACAGAACAGAACUUAGGCUUCAAAGACAGCAAAGGAAAGUCACUAAAUAGUAAGGCAGAAUAAAACAUUCUGAUGGUGAGAGAAAUAGAUUUUCCCAGAGACUAACAUACUAAGUGAUUGUCCACUACAAAAUGGAAAACCAGAAAAACAUAUAUGCAGAGUGUAGAAUCUACGGCUGCUUGGCUUCAUUGAUACUGAUUUAAGAGCACUCUCAUGAGAAGGAGCAUAUAUAUGUCUGAGCAAAGUACCUCCUCGCUUGGUUGUCAGGAAGGAGAAGCGCUUAGCCUUAAAGACAGAAGCCUUGAAGAACUGUCUUCAGAGAGUAACCACCCAGCAGCAGAAUGAAACAGACACAGAGGCCCACGAUCAACCAUUGGAUAGAGCUCAGAAACUCUUAUGGAAGAGUUGUGGAAAGGACUGAUGGCUCCAAAAGUGACAGAAACCUCAUAGGAAGACCAUUAGAGUGAAAUAACUUGCAUUCUUGAGGCCUCUCAGAAACAAAUGAACCACCAACCAGAGACCAUACAUGGGUUUGACCUAGCCCCCCUACAUGUAUGUAGCAGAUGUGAAGCUUGGUCUUCACGUGGUCCACAAAGAACUGGAGCAGAGUUUCUUCCUUGAGCUGUUGCCUGUCUACGGGAU
rnacentral:lncRNA from 1 species